rnacentral:rRNA from 1 species
CAGUCGCCGCGGGAAUACGUAGGUGGCAAGCGUUGUCCGGAAUUAUUGGGCGUAAAGGGCUCGCAGGCGGUUUCUUAAGUCUGAUGUGAAAGCCCCCGGCUCAACCGGGGAGGGUCAUUGGAAACUGGGAAACUUGAGUGCAGAAGAGGAGAGUGGAAUUCCACGUGUAACGGUGAAAUGCGUAGAGAUGUAGAGGAACACCAGUGGCGAAGGCGACUCUCUGGUCUGUAACUGACGCUGAGGAGCGAAAGCGUGGGGAGCGAACAGGAUUAGAUACCACAGUAGUCCCUGUCUCUUAUAC